UGAGUUUAAGUCUGAGAUUAUUUGCUUUUCUUUGUCUUAUAAGAAAACACACACAUGGGCUGGAGAGAUGGCUCAGCUGUUAAAGGCUAGGCUCACAACCAAAAAUAUA
rnacentral:miRNA from 1 species